rnacentral:rRNA from 1 species
UAUCUCUGUAGAGUCUGCAUAUCAAUAAGCGGAGGAAAAGAAACUAACUAGGAUUCCCUCAGUAACGGCGAGUGAAGCGGGAAGAGCUCAAAUUUGAAAUCUUCAAGGUUUUACCUUGACGAAUUGUAGUUUAAAGAAGUGUUUUCUGUUGGAGUUUUGGUAAAAGUUCUUUGGAAUAGGACAUCAUAGAGGGUGAGAAUCCCGUAUUUGACCAUUAUUUCCAGCUUUGUGAUACACUUUCAAAGAGUCGGAUUGUUUGGGAAUGCAGUCCAAAAUGGGUGGUAAAUUUCAUCUAAAGCUAAAUAUUGGCGAGAGACCGAUAGCGAACAAGUACCGUGAGGGAAAGAUGAAAAGAACUUUGAAAAGAGAGUUAAACAGUACGUGAAAUUGUCAAAAGGGAAGCGUUUGACACCAGUGUUGUUUCUACGAAAAUCAAUUUAUGAUGGCUUGAUGCUAAGCUUUAAGACUUUAUCCGCUUGUUGUUUAGUUUUCUUGUCUUUGUGAAUGCACUUUUCGUGGAACAAGUCAACAUCAAUUUCUUUUGCUGUAAAAGGGUAAGAGGAAGGUGGCCUUCGGCUUCGGUUGAAGUGUUUCAUAGCCUUUUAUCUCUGCAGUCGGAGAGAUUGAGGUCUGCAGCGUAGACUCUUCGGGGUUAGAUACGUCGGUGCUAAGCUAUAGCUUUUCAUAGACAACUUGUUGACUAUGUUUAGUCAUGUGGCUUACCCGCUGGCGCUAUUUUACCUACGCUUAGGAUGUUGAGUCAUCACACAUCUCU